CGCCUGGGCCCUCUCGGCGUCCAUUCCCCGCCCAGCCGGGGCAGGCGGUCGGACCCCAGGGGGCGCGUUCUCCCCGAAGUUGCGCACGAGGCGGGCGCCGGGUGGGCCCGCGAGGACGCGAGCGCGCCGGUGCGCGGAGCGGCGCGGCCCCGCCCGACCUUGCUGAUUGCGGGCGGCGCUGAUUGGCUGCGCGACCUUGAACAGGUGUAAUCAAGUGAAGAUGAGAUCAUAUUGAAUUAGGAUGGACCCUUAAUCCAAUGACGCAUGGCCUUCUAAGGAGAGACUCAAAGACACAGAGGAGAAAUGGACAAAUGUGAUGACAGAAUGACAGACACAGAGACGGAAGCAAUGGAGUUGUAAGCCAAAGAACACCAAAAAUUAUCACAACCACCAGAACCUAGAAAGAGGCAGAAAGGAAUCUUUCCUGGCGCCUGCAGGAGCAUGGCCCUGCUGACAUCGUGACCUUGGAGUUCUAUUCUGCAGUACUCUGAGAGAAUAAAUUUCUGCUGCUUGAAGCCA